CUGACGCAGCAACGCCGCGUGAGUGAUGAAGGCCUUCGGGUCGUAAAGCUCUGUCAAGUGGGAAGAACCUGCCCUGUGCUAAUAUCACCGGGCCCUGACGGUACCACUGAAGGAAGCACCGGCUAACUCCGUGCCAGCAGCCGCGGUAAUACGGGGGGUGCAAGCGUUAUUCGGAAUCACUGGGCGUAAAGAGCGCGUAGGCGGUCUCUUAAGUCAGAUGUGAAAGCCCGGGGCUCAACCCCGGAAGUGCAUUUGAAACUNAGGGACUUGAGUAUGGGAGAGGGAAGUGGAAUUCCUGGUGUAGCGGUGAAAUGCGUAAAUAUCAGGAGGAACACCGGUGGCGAUGGCGACUUCCUGGACCAAUACUGACGCUGAGGCGCGAA
rnacentral:rRNA from 1 species